UUAAUCAUUGGGCAUUUUGCCUACGUAAUAUUUUCUAGACCACAAAGUAAUUUUCAAGACUUUUAAUGACGGAUAAAUCUAAUGGAUUAUUAGAAAUAGAUUCAUAAUGGAGCAAUUAAAGAAUAUUUUAUUCUCCUGUUAUUAAAAUUAUUCUCCGAUUUAUUUCGCAAUUGAUAAUCAUGAUGGAUACGAUAACAGUGGCAUACAAGUAGUCAUUCCCUAUUUCAAAAUCUCGAUUUAUUCAUAGUAUCUAAAUUCAUUGCAAUAACAACUCAAGUUAUUAUCUAUAAUUUACUAUAAAUUCUCUAUUAUAAGUUAAUCGUUAUUAAAUUUUCGAUGUAUUUUAUCUACAUUCAAGAAAAAAAUUUUAAUUUUCUCGAUUUUUGCUUAGUUAGUUCUGCAUUUAAUCAAUUGCAUGAAUGUAACAAGUGGCACAUAACUUGUUUCAAUCUGCAGCCUGUUGCAGUUUUUGUAAAAAAAAAAAAAA